ACGAACGCUGGCGGCAUGCCUAACACAUGCAAGUCGAACGAGACCUUCGGGUCUAGUGGCGCACGGGUGCGUAACGCGUGGGAACCUGCCCUUAGGUUCGGAAUAACUCCCCGAAAGGGGUGCUAAUACCGGAUAAUGUCUUCGGACCAAAGAUUUAUCGCCUUUGGAUGGGCCCGCGUUGGAUUAGCUAGUUGGUAGGGUAAAAGCCUACCAAGGCGACGAUCCAUAGCUGGUCUGAGGGGAUGAUCAGCCACACUGGGACUGAGACACGGCCCAGACUCCUACGGGAGGCAGCAGUGGGGAAUAUUGGACAAUGGGCGAAAGCCUGAUCCAGCAAUGCCGCGUGAGUGAUGAAGGCCUUAGGGUUGUAAAGCUCUUUUACCCGGGAUGAUAAUGACAGUACCGGGAGAAUAAGCUCCGGCUAACUCCGUG
rnacentral:rRNA from 1 species